rnacentral:rRNA from 1 species
CAGCCGCCACGGGAAUACGUAGGUGGCAAGCGUUGUCCGGGAUUAUUGGGCGUAAAGCGCGCGCAGGCGGAUAGGUCAGUCUGUCUUAAAAGUUCGGGGCUUAACCCCGUGAUGGGAUGGAAACUGCCAAUCUAGAGUAUCGGAGAGGAAAGUGGAAUUCCUAGUGUAGCGGUGAAAUGCGUAGAUAUUAGGAAGAACACCAGUGGCGAAGGCGACUUUCUGGGCGAAAACUGACGCUGAGGCGCGAAAGCCAGGGGAGCGAACGGGAUUAGAUACCCGCGUAGUCCCUGUCUCUUAUACA